rnacentral:tRNA from 1 species
AGGGUGAAGGUGUUACGGAAGCAUAUCGGUCUCCAAAACCGCUGGCCAGGGUUCGACUCCCUGUCACCCUGC